ensembl:lncRNA
CUUAACUUUAGCUGGUGGAACAACCGGUUACUACAGCGGAUCUACAACAGUGUUAAACAGGAAGAGGCCUUAGUGCUUCAUAUAUGUUUAAUCAGUGAAAUUGUUAACCGCAAUUAACCACUGAAGAUAUCCGGUGUUACAAAGGUGUCGUAAAGGGAGAGCACAGUUGUUGUUUUGGUUUCACUACCGGUUAGCAAACCAGCCUAGAGACGCAAUACUGCCACCUGUGGGCCACGAUGUGUAGCUAAAAUGUCUGCAGUGUGGACAUAUUUUAAAUUAGAUAAACAGCUGUUUGUCAUAUCGAAGCCGCAAAACUUUGGAGAGGAUGUAGUAACGGAGCAUGAUAGUAUUAGAUUUAGAAUAUUAAAUGACUACGAUCUGUAUCUGGGAAAAAAAAAACAUGAAUGGAACAUCCCUAAAAACAUCUGCCGCCAUCGGGUUCAUCUUCAGUCCGACCUCACCGUCUUUAGCUUUUAGUGGCCUUUCUGUCAGCACGUCUCAGUUAAUGUUCACCAGUCGGCUGACAACAUCCAAUCACUGCUUCAGCUUGAUUUGUUUUUAUGUUCUUCUACAGACUCCAUGUUAAUGUGUUGUUCCAGCUCUUCAUAUCAAACCAAACAGCUUCAUGUUCUGAAUAUCAGGUUUAAUUCUGGGUCUUUAGCUUUGUUUGCCAGCAGAGUUUUUUAUCAUCUGUUUAAUGUGGAGUCGCAGCAAAAACUGGGAGAAUCUGGUCCAUAUCUCUCAUUGUUUGCUUCCAUAUCGAGCCUUUUGUGUCUGAUUGAAUUACUGUUGCUGGUCCAGAAUCACCACCUCUUCACAUCCCUGCGCUCAGCACUGUACAUAAACACAUAUUUAUUUUUACGAACAGACUGAGAUGACGUCAAACAUUCGACUGAUGCUGCAUCGCAGAGGGGAGUUUCUGCUAUUUAUUCAGUUUAUCUCUACACGCUGUGCACAUUAAUCCACACAGACGCUGAUAUGCAGCUCAGAUUAUGUUUCACUCUGCAUCACUUUUCUGGGGGAAGCAUCCAUCACACUCUGGUGUCUUUAAUACAAAACUCCCCGAGAGAGAUAUAACAUUUCAGACUCAUCGCAGUCGACUUUUAUCUCCUGGGAAGAUUCAUACGCCACCGAUCCAGAAUUGGAUUGGGCCAAACCAUCUCGUCUCUCUGCAGGAGUCAAAUUGUAAAGUCCCAAUAAAAGCAGCGCCAACUGACACAUGAAAAUAAUAAGCAGCUGGGACCAGAUGGAGACUCUGGUUGUGCUGCAGCGUCUUCCCUCAUGCAUUACAGUAAUGUCGGAGCCGUUGUGUUUAAAUGGCCUCUUUCACAGCUUGGUUCGGGUCACAUCAAUGACAGCGGCAACGUUUCCUUCGUUCUGCUGCUGUUCAACACAAAAUCGACUCUCAGCCAGAGUGUGAUGGAUGAAAUUUCUGUCCAGAAAACCUCUGCAAGGUUCUACAUGCCUCUAAACAUUAUGCAAGUUCUUCUGAGCUCCAGCAGAGGUGUCUCAAGGUUCACCUGGAGCUGCAGGUGUUAGAAGGUUCACCUGGAGCUGCAGGUGUUAGAAGGUUCUCCUGGAGCUGCAGGUGUUAGAAGGUUCUCCUGGAGCUGCAGGUGUUAGAAGGUUCACCUGGAGCUGCAGGUGUUAGAAGGUUCACCUGGAGCUGCAGGUGUUAGAAGGUUCUCCUGGAGCUGCAGGUGUUAGAAGGUUCUCCUGGAGCUGCAGGUGUCUGAAGGUUCACCUGGAGCUGCAGGUGUUCCAGGUGUUUCUGGAAACUGUCUGUUCUUGAUUUGUGCCUUUUUAUCAACAGUUGAGUUCUUGAACGUCGCCUGUCUUGAUUGUUUCCAGCAGACCGAACUCUGCUUCGUACACUGGAUGAAUCACAACCUUCAUUCUUCUCAUCAUCUUCAUCUUUGUGUUUGGACACUGUUGCCACGGCAACGACGCAUGACCACUUGCUGUUUCUGAUUAUUUAUCAGUGAUGGGCUGUAUUGGGGAACGAUCAGCAGCGCUCCUGCCGAUGCGAGGACUCGUCCAGCCGUCCUGAUGCCUUCUCCUCCCUCCUACCUUGUAAUUAAGAGAAGACUUUUAUAGAGGUCACAGAUGAAAUAGAUAAAAUGCCAAUUUUGUAAGAAUGAUUUAUAAAAAAAAAAUAAACUCAUAUUU